ACUGGACUCGACGAGUCCAAAUAUGGACUCGGCGAGUCUACGCUAUUUAGCGAAAACCCUAACCGUUCAGGUUUGAGACGUAUAAAAAGGACUCAUUGGCCGUCAUUGUUCAUUUUAGCCUUCUGAGAAGAACCCUAAAUCGAUUGUGUGCAUCUGGAGCAAGGAUUAUAGGCCAUUGUUGAUUAUAGAAGAGUGGUUGUGCAAGGAAGAGAAGGGAUUGGCUAAAGGAGUAGCAAGGGAGUCACAUUCUGAGGAUUGGGGACACAGAGAAUACAUCAUCCAGGUAAGAAUUCGAUUAUACUCUGCUAUGUUGAUGUGUUUUUGGAAUUAGGGUUUGUGGAACCCUUUUGUGAUUAGAUUGAAUGCUACCCUAGUCCCCCAAACGAUUGUGACUCUGUGUUGGGACCUUUGGAGGUCCAGAAUGUCCCAUGCCUGUACAUUUCGGGAAUUGAUGAAGGUUUUGGAUUGGAAUCCUUAUGCCUUAGGUCAAUAUGUAUGUUAUGAAUCAUGGGGUGUAUCAUGAGCACCAAAAUGAGGACCUUACGUGAUGGACCAGUCUAGGAAGGCCAGGCCUAUGAAUGGUCGGAGCAGUUCUGCCAUUAGAAAGCAGUUUGAGCGGUUGCAUGGCAUGGACUCGCCGAGUCCGAUGAACAGACUCGGCGAGUAGCUUGAAGAUUUACUGGGACUCGUCGAGUUGUUCUUCAGACUCGGCGAGUUGAGUCGGGGUGGCCCCGCGAUUCUUCCAGGAGGAACUCGUCGAGUAAAAAGGGGAUACUCGACGUGUAGAAAGGGUGUCUUAAGGAAUCGGUGAGUUAAGGGCGAGUGGACUCAGAGUCGUUGAACUCGGCGAGUCUUGGGGUGACUCGGCGAGUUAGAUCGCGGGUUGAGUGAAGUUCUGAGUAUGGGGACUCGGCGAGUCAUAGGGUUGACUCGGCGAGUAGGGUCAGUCAGGGGUUGACUUUGACCUUGUCUUUGACCAAGGAUUUACCAGUGGUUCCAGGGGUAUUUUGGUAAUUGUUGUUAUUGUUUGAGUUCAGUGCAUUGGUGACUGUCCAGAGGUGGAGAUCGUAUCAGUGAUCGGAGCAGCUUGAGCUAUCUGUUCAGUCGGCAGUUUCGAGGUGAGUUAUCCUCACUGUAUCGCUAGGGUUUAUGGCACCAAGGCCGACCCUCUUUAUCGGAUGGAAAUCCGGACAGUUGUCAUUGUUAUGAUAUACGUCGGAAGGCAUUACAUGUUAUGGGCCGGAAGGCGUUGCUAUGUGGACCGGAAGGUCAUGGCCUGGAAAGGCGUAUGUAUGCAUUUAGUAUGUUGACUGAUUUAUAGGGUAAUGUUAUGCUAGUGACCGGCUAGACCGGUAUCUUGUUUAGAGUAAUGCUAUGAUAUGUGAUCUGUUGAUCGAUUGUUGUCUAUGAACUGCUAUAUGAUUAUUUGUUAUGUUAUAUAUGCAUUUUAUGCUUAUGGGCCGGAAGGCAAUAUGUUAUGGGCCGGAAGGCAAUAUGUUAUGGGCCGGAAGGCGAUAUGUUAUGGGCCGGAAGGCGUAUAUGUGGUUGGUAUUCUGGGGGUAUCUCACUAAGCUUUCGGGCUUACAGUUGUGGUUUUAUGUUUCAGGUUCUCAAGAGUCUGUGGCAAGGCAAAGGCGUGAUCGUACCGUUCCUCGCGUUGGUGUUUUAUGAUAUGAACCUGGGAAAUUACUCUGUUUAAUAAUGUAUUGAAAACCUUUUUGUAACAAUGUUAAUAAAAUGGGUGAUUUUGAAAAGUUUUAAUUGUUUUGAAAUUUUGGAUGUUACAAGUUGGUAUCAGAGCCUUGGUUUGAGUGAAUUGGGGAAACAUUCGUGUGACUCCAGUCUCAAAUCGAGGAGGAUUUUAAAAAGAGAAAUUAAAAUGGUUUUCAAAUUUAGUAAAAGGAGGACGCGGAGGUACGAUCAGCCGGAGCCAGUAAGUAACCCCAAGAUACCAUACAUGAUAUUUGUUUAUUUGAGCUUGAUAGAACAGCAUGCUAGAGUUAGGCUAGGGAUCUUCAGGAAUUCAUGAUAAUGUUGCCUGAUUUGUGAUGCCUGUAGCCUAGGGUCCCUUAUGGGAUGUUCUCAGUGUUCCUCUAGUGGUGAGGGUUGAUAGUUGUUAUGCAUGUUCCCUAGGGUAUUGUGGUAGUACUUCAUACAAAUAUGGGUAGGUGUGGAAGGUAGUAUGGGCCCGUACUACUGAAAGCACAGGACCCAUACGCGUAUCAGGGAAACCAUGGUCUCUAGGGUAGGGUUGCGAGAGUUGGAUCCCAGGAUUUUGGGAAGUGUCUGAGAUUGGUAGGGUGUCUUCAGUAUGGAGAUUUCGAGGCAUGAUGAUAGUGGAUCCGGAUCAGGAUCGGGAGCUGGAGAGCGAGUUCCGGGUGGAUCGGUGCCGUCGGAGGUUAUCGAUCGGACGAGCACGAGCGAGCGGGAUGCGAGGAUUCGCGAGAUCCUGCGUGAUGAGGUUGCUGCAUUGUUACGGGCUGAGUCGCCAGAAUUGUUUGGGUCGAUCAGGACCGCCAUGGUUGAGUAGUUUGAUGAGCGAUAUGCGGCUCUCGCAGAGACGGCUGCCGCGGCAGUUACAGCGGCUGUAGCAACGGCAAAGAGAGGAGCUAGUCGGGGUUUUCAGUAUCGGGACUUCUAUUAUACGAAGCCUCCCACAUUCGAUGGAGUUCAGGACCCGAUUGUUGCUAUGAGAUGGUUAUCAGACGUGGAGGGGUGUUUCUCCACGAGUUUAUGCCCUGCUGAUCAGAGGGUGAGGUGUGCUCUGAACCUAUUGAGGCUCGGAGCGAAGGAUUGGUGGAGAUUGACUACGGGGUCAUUUUCCGAUGCGCAGAGGGCUGCGGUUUCAUGGGAUCAAUUCAGAGAGAUGUUCAGUACUCGCUAUGUUCCGCGGGAUGAAAAGGAGAGAUUGGCUCGGGAGUUCCUUGAGCUGAAGCAGGAUUUGGAGUCGGUGACUGAGAUCACCAGGAUGUUUAUUGAGAGGGCGAUGUUUUGCCCUGAGUUCGCUUCGGAGCAGGCUCAGAUGUCCCGAUAUCUGAGUAUGCUCAAGGGGGAUAUCAGACAGUUCGUGUCUGCGCAGAGGUGCGAGACCUUGUUGGUGUUGCAGGAGGCCGCCAUGCGGCGUGAGUUAGAGGUUGAGUUGCAGUUGCGUGAGCUGAGGCAGGCUCCGAUGCAGUCGCAGCCAGCGCCGAAACGGUCCAGUACCGUUGAUGUUAGAAUGGGGGAUCGGAGCGGCCACACUUGUGGGAAGUGUGGGAGGGGUCACACCGGAGUUGCUGGUCCGGUGGUGCAUGCCGCAAGUGCGGAAAAGAGGGGCACUAUGCGCGGGACUGUCGGCAGUCAGUGCCGAUUCGGGAUUUGAGGAUUUGUCAUCAUUGUCGGCAGGUUGGACAUUUGAGGGUCAACUGUCCACAGCUUUCUGCAGGACCGGUGCAGGCUCUAGCACCGGCCACCUUGAGGAGUUCAGGAGGAGGACAGGAUGGAGCGGAGCCCCAAGGGCUCAGGGUCGUGCUUAUCGGCUUGCGGCAGAGGGAGACGGAGCAGUGCCGGAGGCAGCUGCGGGUAUGAUGCUUUCUUGAUGUCUUGAUUAUCUUGCGUUGAUUGUGGCGUAUUGUUUGUGCUGGUAUCUGGUGUGGAUUUCGAUGCGGUAUUCGUUGUUUCGCGGGUUUGGCAUGGUUAUGGAUUGGUGUUUCAGGUUUUCGCUUUGGCAUUCGUUGUUCCCUGAUGGUUUGGUAUGGUUAUAGUUUGGUGUUUUGGUGCCGGUAGCCUUGUGCGGUUUUCGAUGCGGUAUUCAUCCUUUGGCAGGUUGUGGGUUUGGUUACGGGUUAUUGUUGGGAAUUCCGUUGGUUAUCGUUCGUGAGGGUUGUUAGUGGAGAUGCGGCACUGGGUUGAAUGUCGGGUAGCAUCUGCAGUCGUAGAGUGGAUAAUUGAAAGACCGGAUUCUUUUGAGUGGAUUGAUCAGGGAGGAGAUGUGUUUUGCUGAGGGUUGCUUAUGCUUGUGGGAAGCAGUCAGUGGGUAAAUGUUCUCUUUGUGCAGGAUUGUUCUGAAAGGUCGUUAAUGACGAUCGGUGGCAGUUAGUCAGUGCUUUAGUGGGGGAGAAUUGGAGAAUUCUCCGGGAGAUCGAUGAGUAUGUGAGGGUGCUUAGCUGUUGGGAUUCAGCAGUGUUUGUCAGCGCAGAGUAUAGGCCGACGAGAGCGAGUGUCGGGUAUGCGGGGCGGGAUACAGACCUAGGGCAUUUGAUUGUGGAGGCCUGAGAGAAGGCCGGGAUCAAGCUUGAGUAAGUAACCGGGGUUAUGCGAUCAGAGUAUUGGUAUGUUUGAGGUACGUGAUGGGUUGUACUGCAUUAAUCCCACGGGAUUAUGUUGUGCAUGUUUCUAGAGCUGGAACCGGAAGGUUCCCAGAGUUAGAACCUGAGGGUUCGCAGAGUUUGGGUGUACGGACCCACAGAGAUAUAGCCUCGAGUGGCUAGUAUGUGUUAUGAGAGUCGGUCCAGUCAUGCUGGAGACUCUGUUGGUAUUGCUGGAUCAGUUUGAGAUUGCGGAUCGUGUAUGUUGCAGUGUGAUUGCAUUGGAAGGUCUGGCCCCGGGUUAGUGAUCUUGUUUAGCUGAGGCAGUGAUUUUGAUGAGUGGAGAGAGUGCAUGGGAUUGAGAGCCCCUGCAAUGAGAACCAGAGUAUGUGAAUAGCGGUUACGCAAAAAGGGUGGUGUCGCUUGGGGCAAGCACCGUAGCACCGGUUGGAGUGGCAUUAUGGCCAAGAGGGUCCCUUGGAAGGAAAAGAGAAAGGUGUGUAACUCCGAAGGGGAGUGCAAGUUCACGAGAAUGAAAGCUGCAGAGCAGAGUUAUGGUUAGAGUAUUUCGAGUAUGCCUUCGAGCAUCGUGUUCGCGGCAGCGAAGUAGGAACCCAUCCGGUUUGGGAUGUCUGUUGAGGCUCAGAAGGGAUGCAGGGAGAGAGAGAAUCUUAAAUUCUCAGUGUGAUUCUGAUCAGAGUGUAGGGUGGAUGUAGUGGUUCAUCUUGGGAGAUGUUCGAGGAUAUCAUCAGUGUAUCGGGUCUUUCAACCUGCGGGUGUUGGGACUAGUUCAGUAUGUGUAUGUGAUGGCAAGAGGAGAACUUGUGAGAGUUGCUCUGAGAGUGAGAAUGGAUCUCUCAGUCGGUCCGGAAUGGACAAAGUGGGCUUUGGAUCGGGGAUCCGGUGGUUCAUGGUUUCCUAACCCUUAUGGGUCGAGUGAUCGUUGAGAUUUAGAGCAGAGUUGCAUCUUGGGUAAUUUUCGGUUACAGAGAGUGAUGUGCAGUACAGAGAUCGUGCUUCAGUCGACAGAGCAGAUUCGACAGAGCCGACAGGGAAAGUUAUGCAGACAGACGCCGGUCCGAGCUUGAGUUUCAGGUCGGCAACCUCGUACUCCUGAAGGCCUCUCCUUGGAAAGGAGUGAUUCGCUUCAGGAAGAGAGGCAAGUUGGGGCCCCGGUACAUUGGGCCAUUUCGGGUGAUUGCAAGGAUAGGCCGGGUAGCCUAUCGAUUGGAGUUGCCAGCGGAGUUGGGACAGAUCCACGACACCUUUCAUGUGUCGCAAUUGAGGAAGUGCUUAGCCGAUGAGUCGGCAGUGGUUCCAUUAGAGGAUAUUCAGGUGGAUGCGAGCCUGAAUUAUGCUGAGAGACCAGUGGCCAUCAGAGAUCGGAAGAUCAAGGUUCUGAGGAACAAGGAGGUACCUCUGGUAUUGGUUCAGUGGCAACAUCGGAAGGGAUCGGAAAUGACUUGGGAGCCGGAGCGUGAGAUGCGGGAGCAGCAUCCGGAGCUAUUUUCAGAGUGAGACUUCGAGGGCGAAGUCUAGUCCUAGUGGGGGAGAGUUGUAACAGCCCGGAAUUCCAGGUAUUGUUAUAUUUAUGAUUUUGGGUGUUUUAAGAGGGGACUCGGCGAGUUGGAGCUCAGACUCGCCGAGUAGGAUCGCAGAUCUGGUCGCGGGUUCGCGACUGGACUCGACGAGUCCGGAUAUGGACUCGGCGAGUCCGCGCUGUUUAGCGAAACCCUAACCGUCCAGGUUUGGGACAUAUAUAAGGGGCCUUAUGGCCGUCAUUGUUCACCCUAGUCCUGUGAGUGAAACCCUAAUUCGAUUGAGAGCAUCUGGAGCAAGGUAGAAGGCCAUUAUUGAUCUUGGAAGUGUUAUUUUGCAAAAAGGAGGAGGCUUGGUUAAGGGAACAACAGGAGAAGCCAUAUUCUGAGAGUUGGGGACACAGAGCAACGUUAUUCAGGUAAUAUUUUCGAGUUGUUCCCUUCUAUGUUGAUGUGUAUAUGGAUUUAGGGUUUAUUGAACCCUUUUGUGGCUAGAUUGAGUGUUUCCUUAGUCCCCCAAGCGAUUGGAACCCUAUAUUGGGACCCUUGGAAGUCCAGAAUGUCCCAUGCCUGAGCAUUUCGGGAAUCAAUGGAGGUUUUGGAUUGGAAUCCUUAUGCCUUAGGUCAAAAUGUAAAUUAUGAGUCAUGGGGUGUAUUAUGAGCACCGAAAUGAGGACUUUACGUGAUGAACCAGUCUAGGAAGGCCAGACCUAUGAAUUGCCGGAGCAGAUCUGACCUUAGAAAGCAGUUUGAGCGGUUGCAUGGCAUGGACUCGCCGAGUCCGAUGAACAGACUCGGCGAGUAGCUUGAAGAUUAACUGGGACUCGUCGAGUUGUUCUUCAGACUCGGCGAGUUGAGUCGGGGUGGCCCCGCGAUUCUUCCAGGAGGAACUCGUCGAGUAAAAAGGGGAUACUCGACGUGUAGAAAGGGUGUCUUAAGGAAUCGGUGAGUUAAGGGCGAGUGGACUCAGAGUCGUUGAACUCGGCGAGUCUUGGGGUGACUCGGCGAGUUAGAUCGCGGGUUGAGUGAAGUUCUGAGUAUGGGGACUCGGCGAGUCAUAGGGUUGACUCGGCGAGUAGGGUCAGUCAGGGGUUGACUUUGACCUUGUCUUUGACCAAGGAUUUACCAGUGGUUCCAGGGGUAUUUUGGUAAUUGUUGUUAUUGUUUGAGUUCAGUGCAUUGGUGACUGUCCAGAGGUGGAGAUCGUAUCAGUGAUCGGAGCAGCUUGAGCUAUCUGUUCAGUCGGCAGUUUCGAGGUGAGUUAUCCUCACUAUAUCGCUAGGGUUUAUGGCACUAAGGCCGACCCGUUUAUCGGAUGGAAAUCCGGGUAGUUGUCAGUUGUUAUAUGUUAUGGGCCGGAAGGCAUUACAUGUUAUGGGCCGGAAGGCAUUGCUAUGUGGACCGGAAGGUCAUGGCCUGGAAAGGCGUAUGUAUGCAUUUAGUAUGUUGACUGAUUCAUAGGGUAAUGUUAUGCUAGUGACCGGCUAGACCGGUAUCUUGUUUAGAGUAAUGCUAUGAUAUGUGAUCUGUUGAUCGAUUGUUGUCUAUGAACUGCUAUAUGAUUAUUUGUUAUGUUAUAUAUGCAUUUUAUGCUUAUGGGCCGGAAGGCAAUAUGUUAUGGGCCGGAAGGCAAUAUGUUAUGGGCCGGAAGGCGUAUAUGUGGUUGGUAUUCUGGGGGUAUCUCGCUAAGCUUUCGAGCUUACAGUUGUGGUUUUAUGUUUCAGGUUCUCAAGAGUCUGUGGCAAGGCAAUGGCGUGAUCGUACCGCUCCACACGUUGGUGUUUUAUGAUAUGAACCUGGGAAAUUACUCUGUUUAAUAAUGUAUUGAAAACCUUUUUGCAAUAAUGUUAAUAAAAUGGGUGAUUUUGAAAAGUUUUAAUUGUUUUGAAAUUUUGGAUGUUACAGUUACCAACCACGGCCUUAACACACCUUAAUCAUCACAACUCUAUGCAUCCUGAGCUGAAACCUACAUCCAACUGCAUCCCGACAGAUGUUCGGGACAUACUUCGAAUUCCAAAUCCCUCAACUUGUACUCAACCAUAAGACUACUAUGUGUAACAAAUGAGACACCAACCAACGGUGGGAAACUUCCGGAACUCCCACCUAUACAACCGCAAUCUGAACAACCACCUAAUUCGUCUCUCCCCCUGGAAAGGAUGUGAAACUUGCCCUAGUUCCACACCCUUUCUAACUAUCAGAAAUCCAGAUCGAUUCUCCCCCACUUGGAUUCGACAAAGUCCUCUCUCACUUCUUAAUUCUUAUGGAUCUUUGACCCAUCUACCUCAAAUACCAUGAAGCGCCUAUAACCUGAGCUAAUCAAUACUAGCGUUCCAUUGCAAGCCAAACUCAUGUUCGCCCAACUCCUGAAACCCUGAAGAAUACUCUUGAAAUCUUAUCCAGUCUAAUAAUCCAAAUCACCUCCCAUGAUACCAUACCACUUCCCGGAGUUCUUAUGUUGGCGACUAAAAACCAUAACCCCUGCCAUGAACUGACGAAUCUUCAUCCCAACUCCCACUCUCGAAGAAUCAUUUAAUCCUACUCUACUACAACUUGAGCAAAUAUAAAACUCCCAUGACAUUACCAAUGACCAAACAACUCAUGCAACUGACACGACCAUCUUCCUGCUACUGCUCCUCUCUUAGCAACAGUAGUGUUUGAACCCAACAUUUUUUCCAUAGGCAACUGACGAUCCUACUAGUACAAAUACUAAAACCACUGAACCGUGACUAUUAUCGAAGAACUAACCUACUAAAUCCUAACCAAGGACUUCCACACAAUACCCACGAACCGAUUUUGACCAAAAACCAAAAUCGCAACCGAACACAAUGGAACCCACUACACGAGAUACAACCCCUCAAUAACCCACUAAUGAUCAUGGCGUGCAAAAGGCAUAACAAUUCUUCGAGGAUAUAACCCAAGAAUAACAUAGAACUAAAGCAAAUAUAAUGCUUACCCAAAACAAUAUAGAAUUCCAAGAAACAUAAAUACUGAUAACAACAAAAGAGAAUGCAAAAAAUAACAUACCCGUAAAAUCACUUACAGGAGCACAAGCCUCCCCUGCCUGACUCUGAUAUGACCGACUCCUCUCUGCUGGGGCUCCUUCCCUAUCCCCACGACUAUCAGAGAUCCACAAAAUAAUCAGAGCAGGUGCACUCAGUGCUCCUCCCCUCGUCAUUAGACAUACGCUCCUCUUGUGGCGCACUUGGUCGCAGAGAAAAUAUAACAGGCUUGCCCUUGAGGACAAUCCCUGUUGACAUAUUCGAUCCUGCUACACUUGUAGCAACCCAUACCCCUGGAAUGGAAAGCUCCAUCGUGUAGUUUCUUGUACGUGCUGCACUGACCCCGGCCCUGCUGGCCUCUCAAUCGUUGAUCCAAAGCCUUGGGUCUCUUCAUAGGACCCUCCCUCACCUACACCCGAUCUGACCCCUCUUACCCAGGUGAUCCAAAUCGACCUCUCGCUCACAGAAUGAUGGAGUGCAAGCUCCAACGAUAGCCAUAACCUCAUCACAGAUUGCGCCUAAGCGAUCAUCCAAUAUCUCCAGAAUCCCUUCCUUAACUAAACCAAAGAUCAAAGGAGUUUGUUCUAGAAUACCGCGGGUAAUCUAUGACGAGAUGAAUUCCCGCAUCUGCUUGCUAAUCGGCACCAGAGCCCGAACCAGAACCAGAAGCCUCCUUCCUAAGUGCUCAUUUCCAAAUAGAAAUACACCAUGCAAAUGAUCAGAAUAUAGCCAAGAAUCCUCUUCCUACAUGCUUCUUAGAUUCUCCAAAACUCUCCCCGAUUCGAGUAGGGAUCCUGUGCUUUUAGCAGUACAUGUCCAAUACUACCUUCCACACCUAUCCAUACUUUCCUCAAGAAUCAUUCCAAAUCCUCUAAGUCACCAUCUCAAAAUGAUGCACCAAAAACUCACUAAAAAGCGCAACUAAACCUGUUGAAGCACUUCCUAGGCUCUCCUAGGUUCCCAACCUCACCUUGCCAUCAGCUGUUAAAGAACUGUUGAGAGAAAAACUUGAACAAAUGUUAGUCACAAGAUAAUAUAAUGUGAAAUAAUAAGUAAAUCUCGAAGGAUCUUGUUGGCUCAACAAUAAUAAGUUAGAAGAGUUAGAUUGCGGAAAUAUAAAGGAAAUAAAUAGCAACAAUUUAUAUCAAGUAUACACCAAGUUGAUUCACAAUGAGAUUUGCAUGCAAACACAAUUUAGUAAGUGCGAUCAACUUAAAGUAAAGAGGGACUUAGUUUAUCAAAAUAUAAUAGAGAGAGAGAGAGAUGAACAAUCUUUCUAUUUCAAUAAAAGUUCAGGAAGAGGUAUGUAGUACAUGAAGAGGGGUGCUCUAUUUAUAGAGUCCCAAAAGUUACAUUGAGGAUUAAAUUAAUACUAAACUAGUGACUAUAGUGACCAUGAAAGGUUUACUGGAUAAUACAAAGUAAAUAACUAAUUUCAGUUAAAGUAACAAAAAGUCUUCAUGCAUCGUCCAUCUCUGCGGUAGUUAUUAAGGUCUGCGGUUAACAAGUCUUGGAUUCCAUCGGUGUAGUUUGGCAUUGGCUCGAAGGGAAGAAACUCGAACUUGUUGUCAAGGACUGGAUGUGUCUCAACACUAAUUUUUCUAAAGUCACAAACCAAUGCCUUAAGGAGUUCACAAGUCCUUUCAAAUGCAAUUUUCAUCUUUGGAUAUUUUCAACCUUGAGUUGAAACACCCUAGCUAUCAGAAAUAUUUCUUUGGGGGUUCAUCCCUACAAAAUCUGCUUGGCUUCUAACGUAUUCACUUCCUCUUCUUGUCAGGGUGUAUUAAAAAAAUUUAGAUUUCAUGAAUUUUCUGAUUUUAUAGUUCUUCUAUAAUUGGACAACUUUGAACCAUGCUUGGCAUGAAAAAGGUUCAAACGCUCGAACUCCAUGGGGAGUCUUCUAUCAUUCGGGAGGCGGAGAUCAAACGAUUGAAUGACUGGAAAGUAUUUGGAGUUGGGAGAAAGUAGAAUGUCGCAAUAACCAUCCGACAUAAGUUCAGCAUAUGUGAGGUAAGGAACAUAGUCAGCAUCGAGGAGUCCGCGGCUUCGGUUCACCCAUGAAUUAAUCAAGGUUUCGUCAAAAGUGGUAUCGAACCCUUGUUCCUUCCAAUUUCAUCCACAAAUUUGGUUCCUCUCCAGUCACAUUUCUUUUGAGCAGCGGCUAAAGAGUCAUCAGAGUGAUUUGAUGACAUUACUUCUUGUUGCAGUGAAGCUAAUUAUCGAAGAGAGUGAUCAGAGAUUGUUUUUUGGGGAGACUUUUGUGGUGCUACCUAAGGAGUUUGAAUUUUUGUUGUGCUUUGCUGUAGGAGGUUGAUAUCUUGGAGGAGUUUGAGAAUGAUGAGCUGAUGGAGUUUUGGACCUUAAAGAAUCACCAUCACUUCCCCUUUUUGAGGAAGCAUGCUUCAGCUGCUCCUCAAACCACUAUUUCAAACCUAUAAUUUUCUCAAACGUAUAAUUGCACUGGUUUUUCAUUUGAUCACAAAUAUCUUGGUUUUUGGGGAUUUGUGACUUGAAGAGGGGUGGAUAAAUUUCCUUGGUGAGGCGGAGAAUUUUGUUAACACUUUCAUUUGCGGUGCUCUGAUUUGCAGUGAUUGAUCUCCUUAGAGCUUUGAUGGUUUCUUAGAGGACUGCAUACCCUGAUUAUUACGUAGAGUGGGUUUCUUCAUUAAUCUUUUUGGAGUUGCUUUCUUGAGUCUGAAGUAUCUGUUGGAGAUCAUCUUUCAACUUCUUUACUUCUGAGAUGAAGGAUUCAGAUAUAGACUUGAAAUCCUUGUGGUCUGCGGUUCUUUGAUUAUCAAGUUCACUUAUACCCAUUUUAGCUCUCAGAAUCAUCCGCUUUGUGGCCUACCUUUCCCUUGUUUCUAAUCUUUCAACUUGUUCAAUGAGCGACUGCGGUGUUGGAACAUCAGUGCUCUAUGGUUCUUUGGUAGUGACUGCUGCCAAGAUCUGAUCUACAUUGCCUUGAAGAUUGAGGAAUUCUUUCCUUAAGACUGCCAUCUACUUUUUCUUCUUGGGCUUAGGCUUCAAAGUGGAAUGUUGAGAUCCACUUGAUUCUUCAUCUUCAAUUACCAAGAUAAAAUUAUCUGAGGGAAGAGGUUGUUGAAUACUGUCAAGGUUAUCAUCAUCAAAACUGAACAUGGGUGUUGAACUGAUCUCAGUUACGGUGCCAUCAUCAUUUGAAUCGUGAUCUUCAUCAUUUUGAGGAGGAUUAGAAGGGACAACCAUAUUCUCUAUGUUUUGAUCUUGUUGAACAGUAAGCUCAUUUGAAGACAUCCAUUGCUGAAUUGCCAAAAUAUCGUGAACAGUUUUGGCAUUAUUGAACAUUGUAGCCCAAUAUUUUACUACAAGUUGGAGAGACUCUUAUUUUUUAUGUUGUUGUUCUACCUCUUGUGCCUUUCUUGCUUUCAAUGCUCUUUUAAAAGCUUCAAUUUUUCAUAAUCCCGACUCUGUUGUUGGAUGAUACCAAGUCCAAGAGUCAUCCAAAGCAUAACCAUCAUGUCCUUGACACACCGAGGUGCCCUCGGGUUCAUGGAUCCUUCCACGUUUGUGCUCAUAAUACCUAAACUGCUUGACUGUAGUGUAGGUGGUACAGGGUUUCCAGAGCUUCCUCGUCUCCUUGAGCUAAACUCAAGUUUGGUCUCUGCUCUGUUCUGGAAAGGGCUGAGAAAGAAGUGCCCUUCGGUGUAACAUGUGUAUCUAGUGUAUGUGUGACCCGAAGAAAAAUUGAGCACAACUCCUCGGGUUCAAAGACAUGUAACCGUGAUGCCCUGGAGACUGUAGGGCGACUAGUAACAACUGGAUCCACUUGGGUUACGAUUGGGGUUCUGUCUCCAUCAUGAGAUGAAACAGAUACACUUUCUGUAUCUGAGUUGUAAGUUGGGGCUCUUUUGGGUGAGUCUACGGUGACUCAAAUGGUUGCAUGAGUCUUUUGAGAGACUCAUGCACGUGCGUUGGAUCACAUUUGGCUAGAACUAUGGAUAAUCUUUAUUUCUUCCUCCUAAAAACAUCUUGGGAUUCUGAGUGCUCAUUUUGAUGUUCAUCAAUGACAUUGACUGGAAUAUCAUGAGCUUGGGAAGGAGAAAGUGGGACUGUGGGAGUAGUCUUUGUGGUUUUUGCCUUUCUGUUCUUUGAGGGAACAACUACCAAUUUAACAAUGAUCAUAGGUGUUUUUCUUGAGAUAACAAGCGAUUUAACCCUUUUUGAUUUUGGAGGUUGGUCAUGUGAUGCGGUAGAAUGACUUGCUUUUAAAGGUUUUAGUUAUGGAUCUUGGACUGCAGUGAGCUGACUGGGUCUUGGCAGGGAAGAGUGAUAUGGGGCAAUAUCACUCGUAGCCAUUAUAUGGUCAGGUACCUCUACGGUAGUGAGUCCAAUGGACUUCAAAAUGUACAUUGGUAAUCUACAGAUGGGACCAAAAUUAGUUUGAUCUUUGGAAGGGUUGUACCUCUUGAGAUCACGAGCUGGGAAUAGGUUGGUGGCAUUGACCAUGCUAAGAUUAACAUCCUUGUGGAGAUCAACUAGGCAUAGUGACCAAAACCUUGAAAAGGUCAAUUUUGUCAUGCCAUAUUUUGGUGCAUCCUUGGAGAUGUAUUGAAGAAAAUCAUCCCAAAUGAUUUUCCAAUAAUCAACAACGUUUCGUGUGAAGAUAAUCCACACAAUGUCAAGGGUUUGUUUGUCCAUAUUAUUAGUCCCUCCUAUCCUGCCUGAGAUACUCUUGAUCACAAAAUGGCAAACAAACUACCAAACCGCAGGCAACUUGCAUUUCUUAAACUCUCCUACGCCUUUGAGCUUUUCCUGAUAUCCUAUCUGAUAGAGAGUAGAGAACACAUCUGUUGAGCUUGUAGUAUAGAACUUUUUUGAAGGAAGGAUCAUGAGAUUGAUUGCAGACAGGUACUUCUCUUUGGUCAAAACCACCAUAGAUUCAUCGACUAGAUUCAGAUGAACUUCAUGAGGAUUGUGGCUAGGUCUGAAUGCCGAGAAAGCAUAUUUGAAGAGAACUACCAAUGGAACUGCUUUAGUGAAUGAAUCGAAUGCACCAAACAAUGGGUGUGUUGGAAGGAACUUGAUCAUUAGUUUAAUGGCUUCAUUUUAAGAUUGAUGAUCUUCAAAUAUCCCUCUGUAAUUGCUUGCUACAAUCGAAGAUGUGAGGUAUUUGAUAGUUGAAUCAGACCAUGCUGGAAGAAAUGAGCCUGAGGCCUCAGAUGGCUUCUUUGAGAUGUCGAAUUUCACCAUGAUUUCAGAAAAUAGUUUGAGAACUUGCUGGAAAAAAGGUUUUUAGCAAGAAGACGAAGAGGAUGAAUGAGUUCGUUGAAAGAAUUCGGAUAGCGUAAAAGCUAUCUUGGGAAGAAAUGGGGAGGGGGGUUGUACCUUUGUAUUUCAAAAGUUAUUAAUGUUAAUUAAGUUACAAUUGUUAAAGUCAAAAACCCUUGGGUUUUUAUCAUUAUCAGCUGAAUUUAAAUAAAUCAAUAGAAAUUUUGAUUCUGGAAAAGGUGGGGCAUUAAAUGUGUUGUAGGUCCAUCAUGACACGUCGGUUAAAUGUGGGGUGUGAUGUGUUUUUAUCCGUUGUAAAAAUGGGGAAUUGGAACGGAUUAGACCCAAAGGUUGCGUAACAUGACUGGAUUUCUUUUAUAGAAAAUUGAUUUUUGGAUUUUUAUCCAAAACUAGACCCGACUGAGGAAAGUUUCAAGGAUGAAUGGAAAAAGUUAUGUGUGACAAAAUGAAUGUUUUGAAGAGCAUGUUUUUGUUUGUAAUGAUCAUUUAGUAGCACACAUGGACAUUUAAACCACUUGAGAAUUAAUGUCUGAGGGUUUAGUGAAUGUGUCUGCGGUAGCUGAAGCUGAAAACAGACUAGAUGAUGAAGGUUAUAAAUAAAUGAAAUAAAGAACCUCGAGGAGUAUAUGGAUCAUAUGUGUUUUCAGCAUACCAAGUACACUGAGAAUCAGAUAUGAAAAAUAUACUAAUAAUUUAUUCAAGAAAGGAACCGUAGAGUAAAUUGCUUCAAGAGUUUUGUUUUUGAAAAGAAAAGAAGCAAUCUAUUCACCCCCGAAGACCUGAAAUGGUCUACGGUACUUAUCCUUUCAGGAAGAACGUCGGGUCUGGGUUCAUCAUUCCUACAAUAUCCAAAAAUCCAUUUAACUUUGUGGAGUCGAGUGCCUUGGUAAAAACGUCAGCUAUUUCUUCGUGAGUGGACACAAAAAUAAGUUUGAUGUUACCUUUAAGGAUGCGGUCUUUGAUGAAGUGAUACCGACGUUCUAUGUGUCUUGUCUUUGAGUGAUGAAUAUGAUUAUCAGAAAUCGCUUUUGCACUCUCAGAAUCAUAAUAGAUGAUUACCCACAACAUCCUGUAACCGUAGUCCAUAAGUUGAGUCUUCAUCUAAAGGACAUGGGAACAACAGCUGGUUGCGGCCACAUAUUCUGCCUCUACGGUAGACAAAGAAACAAAGUUGUGUUUCCUUGAUGACCAGCUAACUAAUCUUCCUCCUAAGAACUGACAUCCACUCGAAGUGCUUUUAUGAUCGAGUCUGCACCCGACAUGAUCUGCAUUUAUGGAAGCUUUAAGACUGAAAUCAUUACCUGCAAGGUACCAGAGACCCAUUACUUUACUUCCCUUUUGGUAUCUGAGGAUCUGCUUGACCACGGUGAAGUGAGAUACUUUAGGCUUAGCUUGGUACUGAGCACAAAAAUCCGUAGCAAACACAAUAUAUGGUCUUCUAGUAGUGAGGUACAUCAACGAUCUAAUCUUUCCUUGGUAUGUGAUCAAAUGACUCUCUGGUAGGGUAAAUUGAGAUUUUAUACCCAAAGGCCAUCAGGACCUUCGCCGAGGAGCAAUUGUCCAUUGAAAACUUCUUCAAUAAAUCAGUGGUAUAAUUUUCUUGAUGAAUGAAUAUCCCUUUAGGGACUUGUUUAAGUUGAAGUCCUAGAAAGAAGUUGAUCUCUCUAUUCAUGCUCAUUUGAAACCAACUUGUCAUGAGCCUUGCAAAUUCAUCCACCAUACCCUGAUCCGUUGAUUCGAAGAUGAUAUCAUCCACAUAUAUUUGAACUGACAUAAAGUGAUUUUCAUUUGCUCAUCUAAAUAAAGUGGGAUCAAUAACACCUCUUUUGUAUCCUGAGGUGACAAGAAACAUAGAGAGAGUCUCAUACCACGCUCUAUGUGCCUGAUUUAGACCGUAUACAGAUUUCUCCAAGUUGUAACAGAGAUGUGGAAAUUCUAAGCUUUCAAAGCCUGGAGGUUAUUGCAGGUAUAUUUCCACUUUUAGUUCUCCAUUCAGAAAAGUACUUUUUACAUCCAUUUGAUGAACCUUGAUGUUUUUAUGAGCAGCAUAUGCUAAGAAGAUACGUAUGACUUCCAUUCUUGCUAAAGGGGCAUAUGUUUCAUCAUAGUCAACACCCUCAAGUUGACUUUACCCCUUGGCGACUAAUCGUGCUUUGUUUCAUACCACCACACAUGAUUCAUCUAGCUUAUUCUUGUACACCCAUCUUGUACCAACGAUUGUGUGGCCUUUCGGCUUAGGUACCAAUUUCCAAACUUUAUUUUGUUCAAAUUCAGCAAGUUCCUCUUGCAUUAAAAUGUUCCAAUCAGGCUCCACGAGUGCCUCUUUUAUGUUUCUGGGCUUAACAGAUGACAUGAAUGCUACAUAAUGACAAUGGUUAUUUAAAUCAGUAGAGGAACGAGUUUGAAUACCUGAGGAUGGGUUUCCGAUGAUUUGACACAGUGGGUGAUCUCAUGUCCAAACGUGUAGCCAUGAUUGUUGAUGGUCUACGACUUCAGUUGAAGGGAUAUCCUCUACGUCUGAGGACUCAGUGGUUAGAGAAGGUAGCUCCCCCUUGAUUUGAGAAUAGGCCGCAGAUGAGUCAUGGUAUGUUGGAAUGGGGUCUGCAGUAGGUAAUGGAAGUUCCCCCUGAGUAGUAGAUGGGAGUUCCCCCUGAACCGAUGACGGUUACUCCUGGACAAGCGAUGUUGGUUCCCCCUAGACUGAUGAGUAAUGAACAAUCCGUGGAUCACUACUUGUAUCAAUUUUUUCAACUUCUUCUUUAUAGUAUUCAAAAAUGGUUGAUUUAUUGGUUGGUCUGCGAGUAGGCACUGAAUCAGUACUUUCAACUAUGGGAACCUUUAUGGUUGUUACUUCCAAAUGAAUUGGUCUUUCCCCCAAAACCGACGAGGUGGAAGUAUUAAAUGAUGUUCCUUCUGAAAAGAUAGGUCCACAUACUACGGCAUGUUGUUGUUGUGCCACCGGAGACACCAAAAUUUCUGAGAGAUACGUUGUCUCUGCGGGAUCAAAGAGGUCAUUAUUGUUAACUUCUACUAUGUUCAAUGGACCCGAGGAUGUGGGAAUAUCGCUUUCCAUAAUUUACUUUGUUUCGGUGGAAGAAGCAUUGAUGCGGACGUAAUAGUCAUCAAGUUUGACAUCAAAGCUUUCGACUAUUAGUCUUGUACGUUGUAUGAGAACCAUGUAUGCAACUUUGUUGGUUGAGUAACCUAGAAAACUGCAUUCAUCUGACUUUAGUGAAAACUUGUUAAGAUGAUCCUUGUUAUUAAUCACAAAACAUAUGCAACCAAAAAUGUGAAAGAAUCGAAUGUUGGGUUUUCGAUUGUCGAGAUCUUCAUAGGGAGUCUUGUUGAGGCGUUUACAAAUGAUGCUUUGAUUUUGAACAAAGCAUGCAGUUGUCACUGCUUCGAUCCAGAAGUAGAGAGGAAGAUUGGAAAAGUUUGUAGGAAUCUGAAAGUGAACCUCUAGGAAUCGUAAGUCCAAGUGAUAAUUCCGAAGUCAGCAUGAGUUCUGAAGUGAAGACUAUUCUGGAAUCUGUCCAAACUUGGAGAAAAGAAGAUGAGGAGUUCAGUAGUGAAGACAUUCCGGAAUGGACAUUAUGUCUGGAAUGUAUGUUGAUCCGAUGUCGUUGUUUUUUGUCUCUUUGUGUAUUACUUAUGUCUCUUUGCAUGAUUAGACAUUUCAUAGGACUUGGUAUGUUUGUCAACUUGGACAAUCAGCAUGUAAGAGUUAUUCCUUUUAUCUGGUCCUAUGUGUGUUUAUUGGUUUGUACGAUGUUUCACUCACUCCUAUUUAAAGGAGCUUUCAAUGCAAAGUCAAAAGACGGAUCAUUCACUCGCUCUUGGCAAUUACUAAGUUACUUCAAUUCUCUUUCAAACAUUCUUCUUGUUCUUCAUUUAUUAACUUUACAUUGAUCUUUUCGUCUCAUUCUUCAUUUAUGACUUGAUCAGUUGUUGAAUAUAUUAACUCAUACUUGACUGGUCUAUCCAGGCUUGACUAGAACAUUUAUUAGCAUGCAGACAUUGAUUUUAUGCAUUCACUCAAGGUUUGAGUUUUCAAACCUUGUCCCUGCGCAUCAGAUCUAUUUGUUCUCUCAAUUGGUAUCUGAUCUUGAGUGGUUUUCCUUUGAAUCCAUAAGAUCAUAUUAUAUUUGGUUUGAAAUUACCUUGGUAUUUCAACCAUUUCUGUGUAAAGGAUAAAAGUUAUUCUAUAUACCACUUUUGCUUGAAGAUAUCUUAACUUCAAUGGCUGCUUCUAAUCCUCAACAAAUUAUUUCAAUGCAAAUCGCAAAUAGUGUGGGUGGCCCUACACGUGCCCCAUUGCUAGUUGUGGAAGAAUAUGAUCACUGGAAAGUUAGAAUGGAAAGAUUUUUACUAGCCAGAGAGAAAGGAGAAGAAAUUUGGAGAUCCAUCAAAGAAGGUCGUCAUGUUCCUGUAAAAACAGUUGUGAGAGAUGUUGUUGCUCAGCUUAUGGGUCAAGAUGAAGCUCGUCUAGCUCCUCUAACUGUUGAUGAUAUUGAGAAGUUUCAUGUUGAUCAAGUUGCUUUGUCAGAAAUGGUGUUUGGUGUUCCUCCUUCACUCUUUGAGCACAUCAAGUUGUGAAAAUCAACAAAGAGAUUUGGGACACUCUUCAAGAUCUGAUUGAAGGUUCGAAAAAUAUGAAGUAUAAGCAUCUCACCUCAGUGGUCAAUAACUUCGAUACCUUCAUUACUACUUUGGGUGAAUCAGUGGCCUUAGCCUCCAACCGUUAUUGAAACGUGGUCAACAACAUUACUGCUCAUGGGAUUGCCCGAACUCCCUUAGAAUACGAUCCCAAAUUCAUAAACAGUCUCGGCAAAGGAUGGGGAAAUGUGAAAUCUUGUCUCCAAAGUAAUGGUUCUUUGAAAAUGUUAAAGCUCUAUCAACCUUUUGAUGAACUUCGAGGACACGAGUCUAACAUUGCUCAAACCAUAAGAGAACUCUUUGGAGGCCCUCUUGCUCUUGUCAGUUCUUUCAAACCAACCAUUCCGAACUUGUCUACUUCGGACCCUUUCAAACCCAUUGUUCCAUCUGUUCAACCCUCCGCAACCAUCUUACCCACACAAAACUAUCAUGUUGAUGAUUCUAAAGCCAUGGACUCUGAACUCCGUUUCCAAUAGGAGUUUUCUCUACUCUCCAUCAAAUACAAACUACCUUUCAAUCCCUCUUACAAACCAUACCAAAACCGAUUGCAUGCUCCUCACCAAAACAAUCCUCAACCAUAUUCAGCUCUGGAACCUCAACUAACUUCGGAGAAUCCUUCUACAUACAAACCAAACAUCACUAAGCCAAACUCUACUUUGGAACCUUCUCAUAAUCCUAAAUCUGACAAACCGAAAAUUGUGUGUCGUAAGUAUGGACAUGCAAACUACUUUGCUAAAGAUUGCCUAGUUGAUGCUCCGUAGAAACCAAAGAUCAAGGAUUCUGUUUACUACGUCCGAAAAGCUCAAGAGAUGGAAGAAAGUGAAAAAGCCAUUGUAACAACGGCAUCAAGGGAUGUUGAAGGAUAUUGGUCAUCCGGAGAUGAUAAUGACAUGGUAACUGGAAGAAAUAUGUUCUUAAUGGCAAGGCAAACUGUUGAAUGUGAUGAAGGAUAUUGGUCAUCUGGGUCAGAAGAUGAAGAUGAUGUUGUUGAACCUCACUACUACUACAUGGCCACCAACGAUCCACCUGGUCGAAGCAUCGUUCAGCAGGUAAAAUCUAUGAUUACUGAUAAUAAUUUUGAUUUGUCUCUCUGUGAACCUUAUCUAACCCAUAUCCAAACAAAUAUGAGCACCAUCUGUAAAUCCUAUGAGUCUACCGUAGAAGCUAGUGAGAAGGAGUGUGAAUUAAAUUGUCUUAGGUUACAGUUUGAGGAUAAAAAAUUGAAAAUCGAGUCUUUAGAGCGUGAGCUUGUAAUGUCAAAAGAUGAAUGUAUCAUUUUAAAAGACAAAUGUGAAAUCACCUAUUCUGAAAGAAAUGUCUUCAUUUCUAAUAACAAACGUCUCAAUGCUAAGAUAGAUGCUUUGCAUAAUUCUAUAGACAUGCUUGAAGCGAACGAAUGGAUGACUCAUAAUUUUCGUCAUCCAUGGUCUAAAGCACCUGGUAUCGGAAGCAAGUUUGCAACACCAAUUGCUCGUCCCUUGAAGGAAUUGCAAAACCUGACAUUCAUGGGAGAGGUUCCGAACACCAAACAUUUGGACACCCCUGUUUCUCCCUUUUCACCUCUUCAUGAGACCACAGACCACUUUGUAUCGUUAAGUCUUGAGUUCCAACCCAUUGUUGUCAAGUGUCUCGAUUCCACGCCUCUUCCACCUCUGAAAAUCCUGGACCUGAAUCGGACCACGGAAGUUCAACAUAGUGUCUCAAAUUGCUUAGAUUACGUUUCUACGCAUAAUCAUCCGAACAACUGUGUUGUUGAAGAAAUCAUUCCGGUGACAACUGAAACUAUUUAUGGGCAUCCUUAGAUGACAAAGUUGAAAAUUCAAGUUGUGUCUCCUCUGGUUCUUGCGAAUCGGCUUCCUUAGUCGUCUCAAAAACAAAAUUGGUUCCCAUUAACCCUGAGUUUAGUAAUCCAUCCACAGGACAGACUUCAAAAUCCUCGUUUCAUCCUAAGGGAAAACCAAUUCUAAGUAGGAAGGAUAUUGUAGAUCCCAAAGUGGAAUCUCGAAAUGCACAUAAAAAGGAAGUUAAGACUUGAUAAAAUUAUAGGUUCCUUGACAACUCCAAAAGGAGUGUAUCUUGGAAUUCCCAUUCAUCAACCAAUAGUCAAAACUCCUUCAAACCCAUUAAGAUCCUCAAGAGACCUGAUUCUCUCAAUCCUGUAGAACCCAAGAAAGUAGACAGUAUUACUCCGCCUAAAUCUCAUGUGAAUGCCAUGACUGUCCAAAAAACUUCUCCUCAGAAUGUUUCAUCUGUUUUUUUAUUGCUAAAUCUGAUGGCAAAAUUUUAAAACCUAAUCUUUCAUCAAGCAAAUCAACAACUGCUAAGUAAACAAAAUUUUCAAAAUCUUCAAAGGAAAGUCUUUUGUGGAAAGUCAAAUCUCACAUUGAUGAAACAACAAUUCUGGAGGUUCCAACUGUUUCCAACGCUUCGGAAGUCCAUAGUCCAAAGAAGACUGUUCGCAACCCCCAAGUCAUUGAAUAUGACUACUGGAUAGAUGAAAAGACAUUAGCCUUCUGUCUGUUUCCAAAGAACUCAAAAAGUACCAUCAGGAAAUACAAAGUUGUUCCGAAGUCACAAUCAAAGUCCAAAGCCCGUGCCUAUGUCGCAAAGUCUAACUUAGAGCCUAAAAACUCCAUCACUCACUAAUUUUGCAGGCACUUUGUGCUUCGGAGCAAGAAACAAUAUGGUAUAUUGAUAGUGCUUGGUCCAUGCACAUGACGGGGCAGAAAGACUUUCUGUGAGAUCUAAAGCUUUCUCCAAACGCUGGUUACGUGUCAUAUGGCAACAAAUCCAACUCUCAAAUUUGUGGUUACAAAAUUCUCACAAAUGGAAACUUCUCUAUCUCAAAUGUGGCUUAUGUAGCUGAUCUGAAACAUAGUUUGAUAAGUGUAGUGCAGCUCACUGAUUCAAAUCGACGUGUGGAAUUUUGCAAGAAGUACAGCUUUGUAAUGACUGAAGACCAGAAAGAGUGUUUAAUAAAGUCACUUCGCAACAAGAACAUGUACCCGCUCGACAUCAACAUGAUUAUUGGUAAACCACAACUCUGGCUUCUCUCAAAAGUCGUUCCUGACGUCAGUUGGUUAUGGCACCGAAGACUCGCUCAUCUGAACUUUCAGUACAUGAAUGAUCUUGUAUCCGGUGAAAUGGUGAGAGGCUUACCUCUUCCCAAAUUUGAAAAUGAUCAUUUGUGUGCUGCUUGUGAGUGUGGAAAGCAAUCGAAGAAGGGUCAUCCUGUUAUCAUCGAAAAAUCCAUCUCAGAACCAUUGGAGCUUCUAUACAUCGAAAUACAUUCUUCUGAUUGUUGAUGACUUUACAAGGUUCACUUGGGUCUUCUUCCUAAGGCUGAAAUCCGAAUCAACCUCGGAGCUCAUCAAUUUUAUCAAAGGAACAGAAGUUCUUAUCAAAAUCCCAGUUAAGAGAAUCCGAAGUGACAAUGGCUCGGAAUUCAGUAAUUCCACCAUUGAGAAAUUCCUCACCGCGAAAGGAAUUGACCACAACUUCUCAACUCCUUACACUCCACAACAGAAUGGUGUAGUCGAAAGACGCAAUAAAACUCUUGUUGAAGCAGCUCGUUCCAUAUUAAACUUCACAAAUCUACCACUCUACCUCUGGGUUGAAGCUGUAUCAACUGCCUACUUCACUCAAAAUUGAAGCAUCAUCAAUCGAUGCCUCAACAUGACACUAUACGAAGAAAAGAAUGGUUUGAAACCAACAAUCUUGUUUCUUUAUGUUUUUGGAUUUAGAUGCUUCAUCAAAAACAACUGAGAUCAGCUUACCAAGUUCCAACCUAAAGCUGAUGAAGCCAUCUUCCUUGGGUACUCUUCUAAAUCAAAAGUUAACAGAGUUCUUAAUCGAAGAACUCGUGUUCUGGAAGAAAAGCUUUGAUGUUACUUUCGAUGACUACUUUGUUCGGAAUUCUGGACCAACCCAUUUUACAACUCACAUUAUGGAGUCCGAUGCUCCACCGCUAGGAUGUCCGAACCCGCAAACAAUUCUUGAAGUUGAUUUUGAAACUCUCUUUGGAACUUCCGAAACAGCCCUUGAUUUGGAAUCUCGAACAAGUCCAAUCCCCACUUCCAUCUCUCCUUCGGAAGCUCCUGUCUCUCAAAAUGUCUCAGGUUCAAUCCCAAGCCUCCCUCCAUUUGAUUCUGAACUGUUUCAACCUUAUCAGGUUGAGGGGGAGAAUGCUCAUCCCUCUCUUGAAUCAAAUGUGGAUGGCUUUCUAGAUGCAGCUGCUGACUUCAACGACUCCAAUCCUAUCAACAUUGAUGAAAAUGAAAAUUUCUUUAAGAUCCCUUCUGAUGAUGAUGUCAACCUCUCCAUUGCAGAAGUUCAUGGGGAGCAUCAUCCUCAUGUUCAAACCAUUCAGGGGAGCAACUCAAUCCUACUGUUGAUAUCGGAUUGACUGUUACACAAGAACUCCCAAGGUUACACGUCUGGACAAAGGAUUAUCCUCCGAACCAAGUAAUCGGAAACCCUAACGCUGGUGUAUAGACUCGUUCUGCUACAAGUAUCCAAAAUGAAUGCUAUUUCUCGGCAUUUAUAUCCAUGGUUGAAUCCAAAUCUAUCAAGGAAGCAUUAGAGCAUGCUGACCAGAUUACAGCCAUGCAAGAAGAAUUGGUAGAAUUUGAUAGAAAUAAAGUAUGGACUCUCGUGUCUCCUCCUUAGAAUCAUUCCAUUGUCGGUACGAGAUGGGUAUUUCGCAACAAGCUAGAUGAUGCAGGAGUUAUUAUUUGAAAUAAAGCAAGAUUUGUGGCAAAAGGAUUUACUCAGAUUGAAGGGCUCGACUACGAUGAGACCUUUGCUCCUAUUGCACGUCUUGAAACCAUCAGAAUCUUUCUUGGUUAUGCUGCUCACAAAGGCUUCAAAGUUUACCAAAUGGAUGUUAAGAGCGAUUUUCUUAAUGGUGAACUUGACACUGAAGUAUAUCUUUAACAGCCCCCCGAUUUUGUUAAUCUCUCCUUUCCAAACUACUGUUACAAACUCCGGAAGGCAUUCUACGGUCUCAAGCAGGCUCCUCGGGCAUGGUACGAGACCCUCACUGACUUUUUCAAGCGCUCCGGUUUCCAAAGAGGAAUUGUAGAUCCUACCUUGUUCCGAAGAUCAAAUGGAAAGCAUCUCAUGUUGGUUCAAAUUUAUGUGGAUGACAUCAUUUUUGGAUCUACGGAUUCAUCUAUGGUUGUUGACUUUGCUAAACUAAUGAUCAAUCGUUUCCAAAUGAGCAUGAAUCGAGAGUUAAGCAUCUUUCUUGGCCUCCAAGUCAAAUAGACUAACAGUGGAAUCUUCAUUCACCAAGAGAAGUACAUAUUGGAACUCCUCAAGAAAUACUCAAUGGACACAUGUGCCUCCACUAUGGUACCAAUGGGCUUAGGACACAAGAUCCAUGCCAACCUUUCAAGUGUACCAUUUGAUGAAAAGAAGUACCGAGGAAUGAGAGGAUAUCUGCUCUAUAUCAUAGCAAGUCAUCCGGAUAUCAUGUUUUCCACAUGUCUAAUGCCAGAUUUGAAGUCAACCCAAAGAUGUCUCAUCUCUUGGCUGUGAACCAAAUUUUCCAAUACCUCAAAGGUACAAAGAGUCUCAGAAUCUGGUACCCAGCAAAUGAGAGCUUCCUACUUCAAACAUAUUCAGAUUCAAACUAUGGUGGUAUUCAACUUGAUAGAAAAAGCACAUCAGGUGGCUGUUAGUUCUUAGGUGGUUGUUUCGUUAGUUGGUCAUCCAAGAAACAGAACCGUAUUGCACUCUCUACAGUCGAAGUCGGACACAUUGCUGCUGCUAGCUGUACAUCUCAGGUUCUGUGGAUGAAAUCUCAACUUUUGGAUUAUGGUUACCGCUUUCAAUGCAUUCCUAUUUAUUGUGAUUCUCAAUGUGCCAUUGUGAUUUCACACAAUCGAAUUCAGCACUCAAUGACUAAGCACAUUGAUAUAAGGUACCAUUUUAUAAAAGAUCAUGUUCUAAAUGGUAACAUUUAACUCAUUUUUGUUCCAUAUAAUGAUGAGAUUGUUGAUGUCUUUACUAAGGAAUUAGACAAAACCCAAUUCAAUGGUUUUUUGAACAAGAUGGGUAUGAUGAUGCCAGAUCCUCGGUUCUUUCAAGAGACUUGUUCUCUUUGAUGGAACUAUUUGAAAGAAAAUUAGUUCUGUUAAAAAAAAGCAUUUAUCAUCUUGGAACUACUUUCUGUCGGAAGACAUAGGAUCAUUUCACUUGUCUUGAUCUCUGACCAUCACUUGAGUUUUAACCUGUACAGUUCAUCCUGAUUAUUUUCUAUUUAAAGUCCACAUAGUCAUAGUGAUCAAAUUUUCAUCUCGGAAUAUACUUCAUAAUGGCAUCCCCAAAUUCCACUCCAGAAAGGUAUUGCAUUCUGCACUUCGGAAAUUUCAAAAUUCACUCUGGAUGUUUUUCUCAAAUCUUAUUCCGAAAUGUUUUACAAAUCAUGUUCCGAAAACUUCUUCAAAUCCCUUCCAGAAAUUCUUUAAAAUCUCUAUUGCGGUAUUUUGCUCCGAAAUCAUAAACUUUUUUUUGGAAUCACAAUCAAUUUUUAACUCCAGAGUUGAAUUUCUUUUUAACCAGAAACUCUCUCCAGAUUAUUUCCCAUUUUGGACCAUUUUUCAAAAGACCAUGUUCCGGAGCUCAAUUCUUUAUCCUUCGGAUCUUACACUGUUCGAAACUGCUCAUCCGGAAUUCCAAAGGUUUAUAAGGCGAAACGUUUUCUACUGCAACAGUUACUUGGUGAGGAUCCUUAUCCAAUAUUCCUUGAUUUUCGUGUCACAACUACACGUCUUCAAAAGCAACCAUCCAAUCGUAGUUUGGGUUUUCUAUUUUAAACUUAAAACAACACUACAUUUCCCUUCCCAAGUCAACUCAACCUCCAAAAGCCGUUUUUCAUUAAUGCAACCCGGUUCAAAUCGGGUUGAAAAUUCAGACCCUCAUCAUUACCAUCCUUGAGCCGACCCAUUUCCCUUACCUAUAUAUACCCAUCAUAAACCCACUUUUACCUCUUUACAUGCUCAAACCCUCCAAAUCUUCAAAUUAUCUCAGUGUUCAUCAUGUUCUUCAAGCACUCAUCCGUCUGCAACAACGGCCUCCAAAUCUUUUCCACAGAAAAAUGCACCAACUGCCUUCACUCCCAAGAAAUCGAUUGCAACGAAGAAAUCUUCCAAGGGACCAUCAUCUUCUAUAUAGUCUGAACCCUUUCUCAGGGAUACAACUCUGUUGUUUUCACUAAACCCUAUGGAUGACGACGAAUCCAUUAGAGUUAUGAUCGAGUUCAUAGCAAACCAUCCCAUCUCCAUUCCUCUCACUAAAGUCCCUAAACCACCUCUUCCACUUCAUCAUCUCCACAGGGCUUUCACAAGAAUCAAAGAGGAAGACGGUGUAUUGGAAACAAAAAUCAUUGGUGACAGAAUCAUACCCAUCUACAAGUCGACGUUCCUCAAAGCAAUCGGUGUAAAAUAAAACCCCACGGGUUUCAAAGUUCAAGAACCCACUACAGAAGAGUUUCAAUUUUUCUUGAAUCACAUAGGAUACAACCAAGACUACAAGGCAAAAGACUUCAAGAAAUCAGUCGUUUCCAGACUCUGUACCAUGCUGAUGCAUAUUUUCAUUCGAGGACUUUCCGGAAAGCACGACGAUACAGAUACUCUUAGCAAGGACUAGCUAUAUGUGGUUUACUUCAUCUAAUCCGAACGCGAUAAUGCGGUUGACCUUCCGGAAGUGCUAUGGCAAGACUUCUGUAAGUUUGCCAUCAAGAGAAAGGAAAAUGAGAUUUCAAGCCCCAGGUUCUGGGCUCUAACGAUUCAACAACUCUUCAAGGAGCUUUCCGAACCUCUUCAUGUACCUGUGAUUCCUCCAGAGGUAUGCAUUUCUUUCAAGGCUGUUAAAUCAUAUAGAAUUCCGGACCAAUCCUCUUUUGGUUCUGUCCGGAGGUUACCUCAACAUAUGUUGGAUAUCAUCCCUUUCGAUUCUAUUCAUUUACAAAAACAUUUGGAGACUUCGACUGUGUUUGACCCAACACAGUUUGCCCCAGUCCCCAUUGAGCCCAUUUCGGAAGUGGCUAUGCCAACAUCUUCCAGACCGAGGAAGACCAACAAGUCCGCCAAGAUGAAAACUUUCCCUAAUAAGUCAAAGCCAAAAAAGAAAUCCAAAGUCAGUUCCUCUUCUCAACAGGAAGGACCUCAUGACAUUCAAGCUGAUUCUGGCCAUCCGAACACCCCUCCUUCCCACUCAUCCGAGGUAACCCUAGGUGAUUCAAAAUCACAAGUAUACACUCACGGGGAGUCUCCACAUAAUCCAUCCUCACCUUCUCAAAAAGGCAUUACUGGUGUUGAACAUAGUUCCUUGCCCCCUGGAACACACCCAAGUGUCACAUUUGAUAUUCCUAUUGUUUCUUCCUCACUCACAAACAUCGGAACCCAUGUUACGGACCCUAAGCAUUCCAAAGUUGGAGUAGUCCCUCCGACUUCGGAUGCCACAACUGGUUUAAUACCCGUAAGGUGUACAGGACGACCAGGAGUUAACAAUCCCAAGUGGGAAGAUUAUAUGAACAGGGUUGUAUCCAGACGUCCAGAUCUUACAAGAGCUCAGGUGGAGGCCACGCUUAUUUCAAUGAGUAACAAAGCUAUUCAAAGCAAUCUUCCCUACGUUCCUCCCACUGAUGCUGAUGCCGACGAAGAGCUUGUUUCGGAACAACCACCAGUCAACCCUUACAACUACUUCAUCCAAACCGAUCUGGAUGAAGAACUCUCUGAAGAAGUUAUGCUAACUGAUGAAGGAAAAACGGUUCUGGACAUAGAUAUGAAGUCUCACAUUCAAAGUACAUUCCUUUGAACAUCCUUCUUGCAUAAAAGUAUCUAAUCUAGACAUAGAUUCUUGAUAUCCAACUUCCAUUUAAGGAAACAUUUCCAUAUUUUCCAUAUGACCACCCAUUCUAAAUAGAGUCCUAUCUAUUCAUAAUAAUGUCAAUAUGGUCCAUUUGUUACUAUACUUCCAACUGCUCACGAGUGACUAAUCCUUGUCAAACCUUAGAUCGUCAUUGACAGUUGUUUAAUUAUUUUAGUCAAAUCCGGUUCUAGUCCUUUUUCCCUCUUAAUUCCCUAAGCAUUUGGAAAAUUUAGAACUUUCAAAUAUUUCAGCAUAUGCAAUUAAUCCUAUAUCUGAAGCGUAUGGGACAUGAUUCAUAAUGAAAAACGUGAUACUUUACCAGUUUCUUGCUAUAAUACUGUCAUAUAUAAAAUUCCCUUAUGUUGAAUCUUUUCAGCAAAACAUUUAUAUAUUUCCUUUGACUAAAUUUGAUUAAAAUUUCUCGAUCUAAGCUUUUAGAUUUCAAAUGAAGUAUAAUAUUCUCUCCCUUAAUUAUAGUAGAACAAUUUUUCAACCCUUGCAACUUUGCGAAUUGAAACUUUUGUUUUCUAUAAUUAAUAUUGCUAACCAUAAUAAUCAGGCUCCGACUAACAUGAUAAUUAUAUUCAGCAUAACACUUAUGCUCCCACUAGCUUUGACAUGUAUUCAGAAAUUAACUGAACUUCUAGAAAUCAAUGCUUGUUGACUUUCUUACAAAAGUUCAUAUUUAUGAUACUAGAUGUUUCGAUAAGCCUUUAUCUAAGCUUCUCAAACUCAUACAUCUUUCCUUAGAUAACUCACAUGUGUGUCUAAACCAUUUCAGAACCUACAACAGUAAGUCCCGAAUGUUCAGACUUAUUUCCAUUUCUCACAAUUCGAAAAUUGAAGAGGAAUGUCGUAAUCAUAAUUUAAUUUGAGAAUGCAAAUAUCACAAUUGCUAUCUCUUUAAAAUCUCUCAUAGUGAAAGCAUUUCCUCACAAUCAUUUUCAUGAAAUGGAGAGAAACCUUAUGACACUUAGAUUUUUUAGUGUAUGUGUUCCUAUCCACGUGAAUUUUUCAUAACUAUAAUCAUAAGACAAUGUUUGUGAGAAAUCCAAACUCAUAUGGACUGAACUUGUUCAUUCUUAAUUUCUUGCUGCCUAGCAGCACAAGGGCCUACCAUGUCUUCCAAGUUGAGUAGAUCACCCAUAAAAAAUCAAUGAACAUUCAUUGAUUUAGGUGUUUUUGCCUUUAUGCUUUCAAAUGAGAACUCAUAGAACUCACAUGCAUAGUCAACUCAAAUGGAAUGGCAUAGAAACAAGAAUGUGUCAACACGAUAGGUUGUAAAACUUCAAGUCGUGUGCUAGUGUUUAAAAACAGGUUUAGUCUUGAUUAGUACUUGAACCUUUUCAAGAUCAUUUAGACUCCCACUAACCUCUUGACAUAAAAGAUUCUCCAGUCAAGAAACAUUCCUUCACAAACAAAUAUUCAAGAGUUGGUGCGGAUUCUUACCAACACAGACACUUCACACAAUUGGUCCUAGUUGGUCUUUAUCUUAUCUAAGACAUCACAACUUACCAAUUUCAAAUAUGUAAGAGUAAGAAAAAUUUUCUACUCCGCAUUCGAUGAGUGUUAUAAACCUUUUUAAGAUGAUGUCACUCAAGUCACAAUCUUAAAGUAUGACUCCAAGGCUCGAUUUUGGAACGAAGUAUGAUUCACCUUUUGAUUUAACCAUUUCAACAAUUUUCAAUUCCUCUACUUAGCCAUACUAGUGCACUAAGUUGUCCCUGGAGGAUCAAUUGUGAUACAAUUUCAUAAUCAUUCAGACGGUCAUAAAACAUGAUAGAAAAGUACUCUCCCUUAUUUCCAGAUUGGAGAAGCCUUUUAUCUUUCUGCCUUAUUGAUUCUUCUUAUUCGUUCUGCCAUACAUUGAAACUUUUCAAUGAUUCAGAAUUACACUUAAUCUUGUAAGUACAACCAUAUUUACUACACUUUUAGCAAAUCAUGACGAAUACUCUUAUCGUUCUUUGUGCUGGACUUGACCUAGUUCACAACAAUGCGUACUAGAUCCUUUAUUUCUUCAUUUGACUCACAUACUUAUGUGAACAAGGAAUUAGUCUUAAUUUCCCAAAUACGAAGGUUCUCAUUCAUCAUACAAUACAAGUCGCAUGAUUCCAAGUUUCUGUCCAAUUGAAACUUGGGUAAUGAGAAUCUUCCUUAUUUGGUAAAUUUUGACACUACCACAAACAACAAAACUAAGAAUCACAUCUUUUUCAAUAUUGCUAUCAAUAGAAACAUAUAAACAUCAAUUUUCAAAAAUGUCAUUGCAAGGAUAUAUAAAUAAGACAAAAACAAAAUUUAUUUUAUUUAUAAAAAACACGAAAAAAAACUUGUCCUUACAAUGCAAUAUCAAAUGAAAACUAUGUUACUAAAUAUUCCAAAGCAAUCUAUCCUAACUCUUAAACAGCAGCUAAAAAUCUGAUCUACGAACAAUGCAAUCGAAAUCCAUUUCUUCGCAAUCAAACUUAACUCAUCCUUUAAGCUUCCUUUCUUUUCUUCGAUCCUACAAAACAUCAAAAUGCAAUCUUAUCACAUCAUGUAUUAACAAUCUACAAAUAAGAACUUAAUAGAGUUAGAUAAUGGAUUUUACCUGAAUCAAAGCCAUACAUCUUGACUCUCCCAUCUUUUAGAUCACUAAGGUAGUCAGGGCAGCUUCGUAACCAACGCCCCUUCUCUUGGCAGUAGAAACAUAUGGACUCUUUUGGAAUGGUACAUGGGACUAUCUCAGACUCAGCCUUUCUCUUGCAUAGAGAAAACUUUUCUGGACUUCAAUGUUGCCAAUGCCCAUAGAAGGUUGGGACAUUGAUUUACCAGACCAAUUUGCUUGACCGGUCGGCCAAAUCAUUGUUGAUUCAUUAGCAAUAAGCAAAUAGGUAAGAUCAAUGAGGGCCACGUCGUCGUCAAUCAUAUAGUACUCUCUAAUUAAGUCAUUGUUGGAAUAGUGUCUAAGGCUGCAACUAUAUUAGGCAAGUAUUUGACCCGGUUGUGCAUGGUCCUUUUGGGUUGCCUUCCCCAUAGCAACUUGAUAGGAUGAUUUAUAAUGAGAGAAGAAAUAUUAUUAAUAUAUUAUGAGAAUAAUACAAGGAAUAAUAAUAUUAUUAUUUGAUUAAUAUAAGUCAUAAAUUAAUUAGGAAUUAAUUUGGUGACUUAAAAGAGAUUAAUUAAAUAGAAGUGCAUAAACUGUCAAUUGUAUGAUAAUUGUACUUUGGGCUAUAAUCCCUUAUGGAUAAGGGGUGGACGGUUUUAGGGGCUUAGGAUAGACCUAGAAUUCGUCCAAGGCUUAUCAUUAGGGUAUUGGAUUGCUUAGGGCCUAAGUUAUCCAAAUAGGGUUUAAGGGUGAAACCCUAGGAGCCUUAUAAGUAUAAAUAGACCCAAGAGGUUAAUGAAAUCGGUACUCUUGCCUUUGGAAGAACCCUGGCCAAUUUCUAGCUCCCUCCCCUCUCUCUCUCUAAUCAUCAUCUUGCUAAGUUGGUGUUUGUAAGCCAUUAGAGGAGUGACAAUUGUGACUCUAAGCUCCAAGGACAAGAAGAUUCAAGCAAGCAACAUAAGGUAAUCUUCUAGAUCUGUUUUUCUUAUGUUAUUACCUAGAUCUAUUGUUCAAAAGUCUUGGAUUCAAUGCAUGUUCAAUUAGAGAAACCUAGAUCCAAGAAUUAGGGUUUGUAUGUGCACAUAGGAAUGUUCAUAUGGCCAAAACCCAUUAGUGGUAUCAGAGUCUUUAUUGGUUUCUAUUGAAUUGAUGCAUUGGUUGCUUGUUUGUUGCUUGCAAAAUUCAAAUUUUGUCAUUCUGCCUGAUGAACUCGGCGAGUUCCAUAGUGGAUUCGGCGAGUAGGCCACAACUCGGCGAGUCCAUUGUGGUACUCGGCGAGUUCGAGCGUCAGAAAGAGCUAAUUUCGGGAUUUCUUGCUAUUUAUCUUUUGGAUACUUACCUUAAUCUUAAUAGGUCAAUAUAAAUCCGAUUUUAAGAUAUAUUUGAGUAUAUUCUUGACCAAAUUGAAGAUAUUUAUCAAUUAAUUGAAUAUUAUUUUCCAUAUGGGAUAAUUCAUUAAUUAUUUUAAUUAAAUUGGUAAAUUGUUUUGCAAGAAAUAAUUAAAUAAAUCAAAUAUGGAUAAUUAUGUGAUUAAAUGUUAAUUUGGAUUAUUUGUUAUUUGAUCCCCUAUGUUUUGAAAAGUUUAAAACUUGCCCUCAAGAUUUGAAAUUUAUGCUUUGUGAUUAAAAGUUUAAUUUAGACAAUUUAAAUUUCAAACCCUAGAAUUUUACAAGUUUAAAAUUCAACCCUAUACUAAUAUAAUAUUACAAGAUUAAUAUAUAUAUAUAUGUAUAAUUAAAAAUGCUAGUCUUACCGUUAGUAGGCCUCAUUCACGAAGUCGGUCUAUAAGGUGGGUAUAAGGUUGCGGCCUAUAAAAUGGCGCUUAAUGGGUGUACACUCACACCCACCGCUUGNAAGUGAAUUGAUGCAAUCCCAUGAAAUUACACUUUGCACCCUUGCUAAGAAGUUAGUGGAGCGUGUGUGGUUUACCGGCACACUAAUUGGUUCUAAGCAAAGGUGGCAAAGGGUGAUUCAUUGUUUAUCAUAGUUCGAUGGAGCGUGUGUGGUUUACCGGCACAUCGAAUAGGUGAUUGCUACAAUGAAGGCACCGUGUGAAUUUGCAUGGUAAUUCACACCCACUUUGUGAUCCUCGGUAUCCCAGUCACAAACGAGAGGGGCGUAUCGAGAUUUAAACAUGCCAUUGAAAAGUUCAAUGAAUCUCAUCAAAACUUAGGAAUUCUCAAUACAUUUAGAACUUAAAGUUAGGUUUUCAUGGUGGAGAAUUAGUGAAUCACCAUUCACUUAUCUUCAAGUUGUUUGCAUGUUAGAUUACGGCAUCCCUUUUCUAAUAUGUAAAUAUUGUUGUUGGAUCCUAGCCCUAAUUUUUCUUAUUGGGUGACAAUUAGGGAUUCAAAUUCUAAUCUAUCUUUGUCCUUUCUAUUUAUAGAUGUCGAACGCGAACAACGCUGCUGCUAGCUCGUUCACAUUGAUGAGCCUUUGCCAAAAGGUGACUUUCGAUGGGACGAACUUUAGUGAAUGGAUAAGAUACAUUCGCACGGUUACUCGCUACGAGGACAAGGAGUAUGUCCUCGAUGAGAAGCUCGAGAAGAUCAACCCAGAAAUCGCUACUCCGGCUGAAAUGACUGCUUUUGAGACUCAUGAACGUGAUGCGACGAAGGUUCAUUGCAUCAUGAUAGCCACAAUGAACGCUGAAUUCCAAAAGUCUUAUGAGGACAUGUAUCCGUACGAAAUGCACCAAGACUUGUUGGAGAGAUACCAUCAAAACGCAAGGCAGAAACGUUACGAGAUUUUCACUAACAUUGUCUCCGCUAAAAUGGGACAUGGACAAUCUCUAACCGUUCACCUGCAAAAGAUGCAAAGGUAUGUCGAUUGUAUUCGCAAGUUGAAUGUUGACUUUGGGGAAGACUUGGCUAUCGACAUGGUGCUUCACUUCUUGCCUCUGUGUUACAACCAAUUUAGGAUGACCUACCACAUGAACAAAGAAGAGGUCACCCUAAGUAAGCUCCAAGUUCUCCUUAGGGUUGCUGAGAGCAACCUCAAGGACAAGUCUUUUGCACCAUCUCCCAAUCCACCAGCUGCUCCUGUUUUGGCAAUUGGGCAAGGUAGGGGUAUGAAGAGGAAGGCUCCGUCUAAAAGCUACCGCAAGGGAAAGUCCCGAGAUGGUUCCUCUUCUAGUGGGACCAAAGUUGAUCCUGCUAAGCCUAACCCUAACCCAAAGGAGGCAGAGUGCCACCAUUGCCACAAAAUAGGGCAUUGGAAGAGAAGCUGCCCAGACUACCUGCAAGCCAUCAGGGAAGGAAAGAUCAAGCCGUCUUUCGCAGGUAUAUACACAAUUAAAUCUAAUGAUUCAUCUCAUGCUAUUUCUUGGGUCCUUGAUACCGGGUGUGGUUACCACAUUUGUUCUGAAUUGCAGGGACUAAGAAGAAAUAGGGAUGUGGAGCAUGGAAGAAUAAAUCUAAUCAUGGGGAACAGAAGAUCGUCGCCGGUGACCAAGAUUGGAGUGUAUUCUCUAGUGCUUAGGAAUGGUUUAUGUUUAGAUUUGAAUAAUUGUUGCUAUUCGCCAGAAAUUGCAAGAAACAUCAUUUCAUUUCAUGGUUUGUUUAGACAAGGAUUUAGAUUUUCUUUUAAUAAUGAGAAUGGUUCUAUUUGUGCUUAUCUAAAUGUCUUAUAUUUUGAAGCAAUACCAUGUAAUGGAAUUUAUGAAACUGUUAUGAUUGUAGAUAACCUAGGAAAUGAUGUUUUAUGCAUGGAUUCUUCCAAUAGUAUGGAUAAAGCAUCCGUGUGGCAUUGUCGUCUUGGACAUGUCAACAAGAAGCGCAUAGCCCAACUCCAAAAGGAUGGAGUGUUGGAGUCAUUCGACCUUAGGGAAGAUGACACAUGCGAGUCUUGUUUACUUGGAAAGAUGACCAAGUCACCCUUCACUAGUACAUGUGAAAGGGGUGAGGGUCUAUUGGACCUCAUACAUACCGAUGUAUGUGGACCCUUUAGAUCAACCACAAAGGAUGGGAACCGCUUCUAUGUGACUUUUACCGAUGACUAUAGUAGAUAUGGGUAUAUCUACUUAAUCAAGCAAAAGUCAGAAACGUUUGAAAAGUUCAAAGAGUUCAAGAAUGAAGUGGAGAAUCAAUUGGGCAGGAAAAUCAAGAUGCUUCGAUCCGAUCGAGGAGGAGAGUACCUAAGUCUUGAAUUCCACGACUAUCUCAAGGAGUGUGGAAUAGUUUCACAAUUGACGCCACCUAGGACACCGCAGUUGAAUGGUGUGGCAGAAAGGCGUAAUCGAACCUUGUUAGACAUGGUCCGCUCUAUGAUGAGUCGUGCUUCACUAUCUAUCUCAUUCUGGGGGUAUGCCUUAGAGACUGCCGCCCAUAUCCUUAACCGAGUCCCUACUAAGAAGGUUGCCAAAACACCUCACGAGAUGUGGACAGGGAAAGCUCCCUCGUUAGCACAUAUCAAGGUUUGGGGUUGCGAGGCUUUCGUAAGACGAGAUACUCACGACAAGCUUGAACCUCGAAGUGAGCGAUGUAUUUUCAUCGGCUACCCGCAGACAUCCUUUGGAUAUCUCUUCUAUAGACCGAAGGACAAUGUUGUCUUCGUUGCGAGGAGAGGAGUUUUCCGAGAGCGAGAACUCAUAAGCCAAGGAGACAGUGGGAGGCAAAUCGAACUUGAAGAGAUUCAAGAGUCGAUAGAUGAAGGAACCUCUACCGCUGGCACUCAACCCGAGGAGGAAACUCCGGUUGAACCGAUUGACGAGUCCUUACCUCUUAGACGUUCCGAAAGAGUUAGAGUUCAACCCCAGUUUUAUGGUUUUCAUAUUACUACCGAAGGGGACACGUAUAUUAGUGAUGGUACACUAAUAAAUUUAGAUGAACCUAAUAGCUAUAAAGAAGCCAUGGCAGGCCCGGAGUAUGCGAAAUGGAAAGAGGCAAUAGAUAGCGAGAUCCAAUCCAUGUAUGAUAACCAAGUUUGGAAUUUGGUUGAUUAUGUGCCCGGACGUAAGACCGUUGGGUGCAAGUGGAUCUUGAAGAAGAAGAUCGACGUGGAUGGAAAGGUAUACACAUAUAAAGCACGACUGGUUGCGAAGGGCUUUACUCAAACUCCCGGAGUUGACUAUGAUGAGACCUUCUCACCAGUCGCGAAGAUUAAAUCUAUUAGAGUGAUGCUAGCAAUUGCCGCAUUUCAUGAUUAUGAUAUUUGGCAAAUGGAUGUCAAGACCGCUUUCCUUAACGGAAAGUUGGCUGAGGAUGUUUACAUGGCUCAGCCAGAGGGGUUUGUGGAUCCGAAGCAUCCAAAUAGAGUGUGUAAGCUUGAGAAGUCCAUUUAUGGACUUAAGCAAGCAUCUCGCAGAUGGAAUCUUUGCUUCGAUGAGAAAGUCAAAGAGUUUGGAUUUGUACGAAGCGAAGAUGAAUCAUGUGUAUAUGUCAAAUCUAGUGGGAGUAUAGUAAGCUUCCUCGUUUUGUAUGUCGAUGACAUACUACUCAUAGGAAACGACGUCCCGACACUGCAGGAGGUCAAGUCCUGGCUUGGGAAGUGCUUCGCUAUGAAGGACCUCGGAGAGGCUUCUUACAUUUUGGGAAUAAGGAUAGUAAGAGAAAGAAGUAAGAGACUAAUUGGACUUAGUCAGAAUACUUACUUAGAGAAGGUACUAAAACGUUUUAGUAUGGAAAACUCAAAGAAGGGAGAACUACCGAUACAAAGUAAUGCCAAAUUGAGUAAGACUCAAAGUCCGAGUACCGAAGCUGAGAUAGCAGAAAUGAGCCGAGUACCAUACGCUUCCGCAGUUGGCUCAAUCAUGUACGCUAUGACUUGUACUCGCCCUGAUGUAGCCUUCGCUUUGAGCAUGGUUAGCAGAUAUCAAGGGAAUCCUGGCAAAGCACAUUGGAUUGCGGUGAAGAAUAUCCUUAAGUACCUUCGGAGGACGAAGGAAUGGUUCUUAGUCCUCGGAGGGAGUGAUGACUUGAAGGUGCGAGGGUAUAGUGACGCCAACUUUCAGACAAACAGGGACAACUACCGUUCGCAGUCGGGUUGGGUCUUUAUCCUGAAUGGAGGAGCAGUGACAUGGAAAAGUUCCAAGCAGGAAACCGUAGCUGAUUCAACGUGCGAAUCAGAGUACAUUGCAGCGAGCGAAGCGUCGAAGGAGGCAAUAUGGCUAAAGAACUUCAUCGGUGAUCUUGGAGUUGUACCUGCCAUAAAGGAGCCCAUGGAGAUUUUCUGUGAUAACGAAGGAGCGGUUGCCUUGACCAAGGAACCGAGGGAUCAUGGUAGAUCANNNNNNNNNNNNNNNNNNNNNNNNNNNNNNNNNNNNNNNNNNNNNNNNNNNNNNNNNNNNNNNNNNNNNNNNNNNNNNNNNNNNNNNNNNNNNNNNNNNNNNNNNNNNNNNNNNNNNNNNNNNNNNNNNNNNNNNNNNNNNNNNNNNNNNNNNNNNNNNNNNNNNNNNNNNNNNNNNNNNUGUUGGAAUAGUGUCUAAGGCUGCAACUAUAUUAGGCAAGUAUUUGACCCGGUUGUGCAUGGUCCUUUUGGGUUGCCUUCACCAUAGCAACUUGACAAGAUGAUUUAUAAUGAGAGAAGAAAUAUUAUUAAUAUAUUAUGAGAAUAAUAUAAGGAAUAAUAAUAUUAUUAUUUGAUUAAUAUAAGUCAUAAACUAAUUAGGAAUAAUUUGGUGACUUAAAGAGAUUAAUUAAAUAGAAAGGCAUAAACUGUCAAUUGUAUGAUAGUUGUACUUUGGGCUAUAAUCCCUUGUGGAUAAGGGGUGGACGGUUUCAGGUGCUUAGGAUAGACCUAGAAUUCUUCCAAGGCUUAUCAUUAGGGUAUUGGAUUGCUUAGGGCCUAAGUUAUCCAAUUAGGGUUUAAGGGUGAAACCCUAGGAGCCUUACAAGUAUAAAUAGACCCAAGGGGUUAAUGAAAUCGGUACUCUUGCCUUUGGAGGAACCCUAGCCGAUUUCUAGCUCCCUCCCCUCUCUCUCUAAUCAUCCUCUUGCUAAGUUGGUGUUUGUAAGCCAUUAGAGGAGUGACAAUUGUGACUCUAAGCUCCAAGGACAAGAAGAUUCAAGCAAGCAACUUAAGGUAAUCUUCUAGAUCUGUUUUUCUUAUGUUAUUACCUAGAUCUAUUGUUCAAAAGUCUUGGAUUCAAUGCAUGUUCAAUUAGAGAAACCUAGAUCCAAGCAUUAGGGUUUGUAUGUGCACAUAGGAAUGUUCAUAUGGCCAAAACCCAUUAGUCACUAUAUGAGUUAGGAAGUGAUUGAAGAACCUAGUCAACAGCCAACUUCCUUGAGACAUCAACACCCAACAUCCUCAACAUGUCAAUGUGUGACUUCAUCUAUAAGAUGUGUGCACACACAAACUUUUCAUAUCCGUGUCUUUUUUCCAAUAGGGCUUUAGUGACAUUGAACUUUUCAAGUCUUCGAACACGUGGGUCAGCGAGAAUUAUUGGAGGAGGUGGAGGAAGUGAAGCAGGAUUUUCAUUUCCACAAUCCAAUCAUGGAACAUCAUCUUUAUUUGGAAAACUCUUUCCAAAGGAUUCGGGAAGAUCAUAGUUGAUAGACUUUGACAUCUACAAAACAGGAGAAAUUCAAGUUAGUUAAUUGAGUCCUUAAUAAAACACAUAAAUGAGAUAUUAAGGAUAGGACCCAACACAAUAUUCUUCAACUUGGAAGAGGGAUGCUGUAAUCCAGUUGCAGAAUAUUUGAAGGUAGGUAAAUGACGAUUUACCAAUUUCCACCAUGAAAAACAAAAAUGAAACCUAAGUUUUAAACGAAUUGAAACUCCUAGAUUUUUUAAGAUUCAUCGAACUUUUCAAUGUCAUGUUUAAAGCUCGAUUAUGUCCUUCAAGUUUGUGACUGGGAUGCCGAGGACCACAAACAAGGUGUGGACAACCAUGCAAAUUAGCUUAGUACUCUCGAAGAUGUCAAUCACCUAAUCAAUGUUCCGGUUAACCGCACACGCUCCAUUGAUCUAUGAUAAUCUACGAGCUACCCAUUGUCAACCUUAAUUGGUCCCAUAUUAGUGUGCCGGUUAACCACACAUGCUCCACUAACGACCAAGAAGGUGCAAUGUGCAAUUUCAUGGAUUAGCACUAAUUCCAAAUUAUCGCUAAAGUAACUAAGAUUUGGGAAUUUAUAAGAGUGUUUAGUUACUUCGUACUUCAUUAUACUUAUAAUGGAAGGUUAUGUCAUAUCCUACCCGUUCGGCUAACAACCCUCCACUAGUCAAGAGUGCGGUGGGUAAGAGUGGAUACUCAUUCAAUCAUCAUUGUAUAGACAAUUUCCUUAAACACCCCUUAUAGACUAGCUUCGUGAAUAAGGCCUACUAACGGCAAAACUGACAUUUUACUUAUACAUAUAUAAUAUUAAACUUUUAAUUUUAUAUAGUACAAGGGUGUAUUUUACACUUUUAAAAUAUCAUUUGGUUCAAUCUAUUAAUAAAUUAAACUUUUAGUUUGAUUAAUCUUAAACCAUAUAAUUAUGGAUUUAUUAGUUAUGUCUUUUAAUUAAACACUUAAUUAAUUUAAUAAAACCAUAAGGGUGUAAUUUGAACUUUUCAAAGUACUAGGGUUUUAGAAUUCAAUAUUUCAAUAUUAAUACCUUUUAAUUAAAAUUUAAAUUCCAAAACUUGAGGACAAAUUUUGAAACCUUUCAAAUUAUUAGGGUUUAACUAUUUAACUUUCAAAAACUAAAACUUUUAAGUUCAAAUCUAAACUAUAAAACCUCCAAGGUGUAAAUUGAAACUUUUCAAACUUAGUAGGUCAAAUAUUUGACUCAUAAUAAUCCUGUAUUAUCCAAAUUUAACCAAAACCAUUAAUUUAGAUAAGGAUAAUCAUUCCAAACAUAAAAAAUCAGUUUUAGGCAAUAAAAACGAGUUUUGGUAAUUAUCCUUAACAAAAUUUGCUCAAAAAAUCGAAAAUCCUGUCAACAGCACCCUGGACUUGCUGAGUCCACUGAUGCACUCGACGAUUUCAUGCAACUCGGUGAGUCCACAGAUGGACUCGCCGAGUCGGCUUCGCAGAAAGCAAAAAUUUGACUUUUUUAUCCUUUGGCAGUUCACUUUUGCAUCUAUUCUACUAGAAAAACAACCUAGCCUCUGAUAUCACUGAUAGAUUAUGAGCAUAACAUCAUUCCUAUGGUGUUCAUACAACCCUAAUCGCUUUGAUCUAGGUUUUUCUAAUUUGAACAUACAACAUUGAAUACCAAAGCAAUAACUAUGAACUAGCAUAUAAUUCGAAAUUCACAUAUGAUUAGGGUUAGAAACACUACAUUGAUUGUUAUGUAGCAAUAACAAUCCCAAUCCUUCUUGAUCUUGACAUCUGAAAGCCCAGUGCCUCAAAUGGUGCGCCUCUAAUGCAGUCACAAACACCACUAGCAACAUGGAAGAACAAGAGUGAGAGGAGAGGUUCAAAAUAGGCUAUGGAAUCUUUCUAGGGUUUCUAGUAGUCGAUUUUGGCAUGCCCAAAGGUUCCUUAUAUAGCUGAGCAAUUAGGGUUUCAGUCAAAACCCUAAUCCAGUUUCUUAGUCCUUAAGCAGGCCAAUCCUCCCAGAAUGCCCCUUAGACGAUUUCUUUAUGGACUCUCAUAUAAAAUUCGUCCACUACUUCCUUGUGGAUCCUAAGCCCAACUCUGUAACUAUCGUAUAAUUACAGUAUCAGUCUCCUUAAUUUAAUUAAUCUCUUUUUACCACAAAAUUAAGUCUAAAUUAAUUCUUGAUCAAUAUUAAUUAAACAUAAUGAUUUCUCUUUUAAUACAUCCUAUCAGAUGCUAUGGUGAAGGCAACCUAAAAGGACCAUUCUCAUAAUCGGGUCAAGUACAUACCAAAAUAGUUAUGGGCUUAGACACCUAAUCCAACAAAAGAGUCAUUUUUCAAAAUUUAGGACCAGGCCAAUUUCAAUGCAUCUUUGAAUAAUUUUGAUGAGGUUAUUAAGCAAGUAUAAAAGGAAUCUCCAAAGACAGUAAAAUCAUCCAUGAAGACUUCUAUGAUAUUUUCUACAUACUUACCAUACACCUUUGGAAGGUGGCAGGUGCGUUGUAGAUUCCAAAAGGAAUUUGUCUGUAAGCAAAAGCUCCAAAUGGGCAAGUGAAGGUUGUCUUCUCCUGAUCUUUUGGAGCAACUGAAAUUUGGUGAAAGCCUGAGUAUCCAUCCAGACAUCAUGUAACAGCCCGGGAUCUCAGGUAUUGUUAAAUUAUGUUUUUGGGGUGAUUUAAGAGGGGACUCGGCGAGUUGGAGCCUAGACUCGCCGAGUAGGAUCGCAGACUUGGUCGCGAGUUCGCGACUGGACUCGACGAGUCCAGAUAUGGACUCGGCGAGUCUACGCUGUUUAGCGAAAACCCUAACCGUUCAGGUUUGGGACGUAUAAAAAGGACUCAUUGGCCGUCAUUGUUCAUUUUAGCCUUCUGAGAAGAACCCUAAAUCGAUUGUGUGCAUCUGGAGCAAGGAUUAUAGGCCAUUGUUGAUCAUAGAAGAGUUGUUGUGCAAGGAAGAGAAGAGAUUGGCUAGAGGAACAGCAAGGGAGUCACAUUCUGAGGAUUGGGGACACAGAGAAUACAUCAUCCAGGUAAGAAUUCGAGUAUACUCUGCUAUGUUGAUGUGAUUAUGGAAUUAGGGUUUAUGGAACCCUUUUUGUGAAUAGAUUGAAUGUUACCCUAGUCCCCUAAUUGAUUGUAACCCUGUAUUGGGACCUUUGGAGGUCCAGAAUGUCCCAUGUCUGUGCAUUUCGGGAAUUGAUGAAGGUUUUGGAUUGGAAUCCUUAUGCCUUAG
rnacentral:lncRNA from 1 species